CGAGUACAAGUGGCGCACGGGGUGAGUAACACGUGACUUAUCUACCCUCGAGUGGGGAAUAACUUCGGGAAACCGAGGCUAAUACCGCAUAAUACCCACGGGUCAAAGGAGCAAUUCGCUUGAGGAGGAGGUCGCGGCCCGAUUAGUUAGUUGGCGGGGUAAUGGCCCCCACCCAAGACGGUGGAUCGGUAGUCCGGCCGUCGAGAGGGCGGCACGGACGACACUGGAACGUGAAACAACGGUCCGACGACGUCCUACGGAGGGCGAGCAGUGGGGAAUUUUGCGCAAUGGGGGAAACCCUGACGCAGCAACGCCGCGUGGAGGAUGAAGUCUCUUGGGACGUAAACUCCUUUCGAUCGGGACGAUUAUGACGGUACCGGAAGAAGAAGCCCCGGCUAACUUCGUG
rnacentral:rRNA from 1 species